GCACCUUGCAUUGCAUCGCCGAUUCGCCGCAUUGGAUUGAACUAGAACAGUAGAACGGUACGAGCAGCCAUCAAAACGAACAAAGAAGGUAACAAGGUGCCACAGAUCCACUGGCACCAUUAUUUUCUUUCUCAUUUUAUUCUUAUGUAUCCUCUGCUUCAUCCUCGUCAAAAUCUUCGGACUUGGACUCAACCUGGAAAAACAGAUGGAUAACUUAAUCUGGAGAGAUGUGGACCUUUAAACCUUAUUAAACCUUAACUUUUUCAUGUGUAAACCAAGAAUAGAAAUUCUUAAUAUGAGGUUGCAGAUUAAGAUGUUCAACCUGGAAUGAUAUUGACACAGAGAGUGAUCUCUAUAUUAAUGUUGAAAAAGAGCUUGGUCUGAUAA